rnacentral:rRNA from 1 species
GACGAACGCUGGCGGCGUGCUUAACACAUGCAAGUCGAACGGAGUGGCGAACGGGGGAGUAACACGUGGGUGACAUUCCCUGCACUGCGGGAUAAGCCUGGGAAACUGAGUCUAAUACCGAAUCGUGUGGGAUGGGCCCGUGGCCUAUCUGCUGGUGGGUGGGGUAAUGGCCUGCCAAGGCGGCGUCGGGUAGCCGGCCUGCGAGGGUGGACGGCCACAUUGGGACUGAGACACGGACCAGACUCCUACGGGAGGCAGCAGUGGGGAAUAUUGCACAAUGGGCGGAAGCCUGAUGCAGCGACGCCGCGUGGGGGAUGACGGCCUUCGGGUUGUAAACUCCUUUCACCAUCGACGCGGUAGAUGGAGAAGAAGCACCGGCUAACUACGUGCCAGCAGCAGCGGUAAUUC